rnacentral:rRNA from 1 species
AGUGAACGCUGGCGGUAGGCCUAACACAUGCAAGUCGAACGGCAGCGCAGUAAGAGCUUGCUCGUACGGGUGGCGAGUGGCGGACGGGUGAGGAAUACAUCGGAAUCUACUUUUUCGUGGGGGAUAACGUAGGGAAACUUACGCUAAUACCGCAUACGACCUACGGGUGAAAGCAGGGGAUCUUCGGACCUUGCGCGAUUGAAUGAGCCGAUGUCGGAUUAGCUAGUUGGCGGGGUAAAGGCCCACCAAGGCGACGAUCCGUAGCUGGUCUGAGAGGAUGAUCAGCCACACUGGAACUGAGACACGGUCCAGACUCCUACGGGAGGCAGCAGUGGGGAAUAUUGGACAAUGGGCGCAAGCCUGAUCCAGCCAUACCGCGUGGGUGAAGAAGGCCUUCGGGUUGUAAAGCCCUUUUGUUGGGAAAGAAAAGCAGCAGGUUAAUACCCCGCUGUUCUGACGGUACCCAAAGAAUAAGCACCGGCUAACUUCGUG